rnacentral:lncRNA from 1 species
AAUUGAGCAAAACAUCCGUUCAAAGCUCUUCAUUUCCAGACUGAAUCCUCCCUCAGAAAAGUUAGUCUUUCAAAUUUGCUUUCUCUUUCAAAAUAACUAACUGCAAAAGCCAUUUGGCUCCAGCUGUUACAAAAAUAUUUUCUGUUCCACCCACCACCCCCCCAAAAAAAGAAAGAAAAGAAAAAAAAAACGUCAGAAAACACUUCCACACACACACAUGCAGAGACUCAAGCAAUUAUUGUGUAACUCCAGUGACUUUCAUUUACUGUGUGCACCAUCAUGGUUAACAGAUUAUAUUGUUCACUUUGUCAAUAGACUUUAUUUCUAUAACACUUUUCAACCAGAAAUCUAGUUUUAAAAACUGCUCUUUGGUCCUCAUUUGGCUACAAUCGACUUCAUUCAUUCCAAUAGAGGAAACUUAAGGAACUAUGAACUAGUUGUGACAUCUUCAAGACAUUAAGGAAACACACACACAUGUGCAGCACACCCACUUUUUCUUCGGAAAUCUCAGUUUUUGGGGGGUGUGCUCCUAAAAGUCUACCUCCCUUCACUGUAACAAAUCCAGAGUGAAACUGCAGACAUUUCUGCUUGUUGAGCUUCACCCAGCAUGAAGGCAAGUACAUUUUGUUCUCUAAAACAGAGAUUCCUGGUCUAUGUUCGGCAUCUAUUGUGAAGUCCUUUUUGAUCUGUUUCUUGUUUGGAUCUUCUAUUUUCAGAACUUUUCACGUCUCUGCUCUGCGGCUUUGCCAUGGCUUCUUGUUCACUUUGCAACCGGAGGGUUCUGCCUCAGGAUUCACUGUAUGUGGGGAUCUUUUAGCAGCUGGUCAACGUGUGAUCCCUGCACAAAUCUACAGACCAGAAGUCGAGCCAUGGUCGUGUACCAGGCUUGUGAAACGACUCAGGGUUGCCCUUUAGACGAUGGAUGUGGGGCCGUUUUCGCUUGUAUUAGCAAAUCUCUGGUGUGCAACGGAGACCAAGACUGUGAGGGGGAUGGGCUCGAUGAGAAUGGCUGCACCAACCAACAAAAGUUUUCUGCGUGUGAACACACAGUGACCCCUCCUAAUGUUGAUCUAAUUGGUCUUGGGGUUGAUGUGGUCACUGGAAACCAAAGAGGCAGUGUCAUCAACACAAGGAGCUUUGGCGGCCAGUGUCGAACCAUCUUCAGUGGCGUCCACAAGGCUUUCUAUCGACUGCCUCUCAGCACCAUACAAUACAAUUUCUUGGUUAAAGUGCAGAACGACUUCAGUGAUGAGAUGUUCAGCAGUAAGUGGCAUUACGCCAAGGAUGUUGUCAACCGAGAAACGGUGACGGGGACCACGAAAGGAUAUAAAAACUACGACUUUCACGAGACACACGACACCUCUCAGUACCACAGGCUCCUAGUGUUAAAGAACGACAUAGAAGUAGCACAGUUCCAGAGCAACUCUCCACAGUAUAUCCCCAUUGCAGAGGAAUUCUGGAAGGCUUUGGCCAAACUCCCAUCCGUCUAUGACUACACGGCUUACAGGAAGGUUCUGGAGAGGUUCGGAACACACUAUGUGUCUCAGGGAAGCCUGGGGGGCUCCUUGAAAAUCAUUAUGUCCAUCGAUUCGGAAAGUGAAAAAUACCUGGCUGUUGAAUCAAUGAAGUACAAUGAAUGUGAGAAGAAGGUUCGCUUUAUCCUAAUAUUUCCCCUCAUCAUAACAAAGUGUAAAGGGGGGGAAAGAACUGAAGAUUGGGAGAGAUCUUAUUCCUACAACAACGUAGUGGCAAAAGUGGAAACAAAAGGAGGAGACGUCUCCCACUCCGCUGCGGUGCAGAGGAUGCAGCUUGACGACGCAAGCAAGAACUGGGAGAUGUACUCAAACUGGGCGGAUUCUAUCAGAUCCAUUCCAGAAAUCAUAAAACAAAAGCUGCGGCCGCUGUCAGAGCUGGUGAAGGACGUUCAGUGUGCCGGGGUGAAGAAGCUGUACCUGCGCAGAGCCAUCGAACAAUACCGUGCAGAGAGUGACCCCUGCCACUGCCAGCCCUGCAGAAACAAUGGCAUAGUUGUCAUGGAUGGUGACGUGUGCAAAUGCAUCUGCAAGCCUGGCACGUCAGGGGCGGCUUGUGAGCAAGGAAUUGAGGCUGAGGGCCAACGAGGAGUAAUCCACGGCAGUUGGACUUGCUGGUCUGCUUGGUCAGCAUGCUCCAGGGGUCAGAGGUCUCGAAGUCGCCAUUGCCAAAACCCCGCGCCCCAGAACGGAGGACAGCACUGCAUCGGUGAUACGGUUGAGAAGUCUUCCUGUGAUGAAGAAGAUCUGGAAUACCUGAAGACCAUGGAACCUCAGUGCUUUGACAACACUCUGCCACCAAGUCAGAAGUGUGAAACUCCCCCAGCUCUGAUCAAUGGCUUUAUUGUGGUAAAGAUUCAAAGAAUUUUGAAAAUCCAACAAUCCCAGAAUGCAGAGGUUCUAGCUUCUCCUACGAAAGAGGCUUAUGACAUCGGGGAGGCUGUCACCUUGUCUUGUCCGGAGGGCAGAAUCUUACAGGGAGAAGACCGAGUCCUGUGUGACUCCAGCUUGAAUUUUUCUCCAAAUCCUGCAGAAAUUACAUGCAGCCAAGUCGAAACCCUGCCUUCUCCCGUCACUCCCACAGUGAGCUGUGAGGCAUGGGAGAAGCCCUCCAAAGGCAAAUGUAUUUGCAAAAUCCCUCAUGAAUGCAGUUUGUCUAUGGAUAUUUGUGCCACAUCUCCAGGAAGUGGAAAAUUCAUCCCCAUGACUGUGUGCAAAAUGCAUGCCCUGAAGUGCAAUGGGAAGAAUUUUGAAAUAGCCGAAUACAGCAACUGCGUGUGGCCUCGGCGCAGCGCUCCGGACUGCAGCUCCUGCCACAUGUGGGAGAAAUGUGAUGAAUCAACCAGCAGCUGUCGCUGUAAGGAGCUUGCAGACUGUUUGAACGCUGUCAUAAAGGUGUGCGUCCGCGUUGGUGAGGAUGACACGGCGUCCAUGCAGACCAUGAGUGAGUGUGAAGCAGGAGUUCGACAAUGCAACGGAGAAAAGGUGUCUGUUAUCAGCAUCCGGCCCUGUGCUUCCUGAGGAUUCAGAGAACUGACAACCAUGUUUCCUUUCCUUUGUAAUCCACAUGUACUUUUUUAUUUGAAGGACCUUAACAUGCAUGUAUCCUUAGGAGGCAAUAAAACUCAGCAGGCCUCUCCCUGUUCA